rnacentral:rRNA from 1 species
UUAGGAAUCUUCCACAAUGGGCGAAAGCCUGAUGGAGCGACGCCGCGUGAGGGAUGAAGGCCUUAGGGUUGUAAACCUCUAAAAGAGGGACGAUAAUGACGGUACCUCUUGAAUAGCACCGGCUAACUCCGUGCCAGCAGCCGCGGUAAUACGGAGGGUGCGAGCGUUAUCCGGAUUUACUGGGUUUAAAGGGUGCGUAGGUGGGCUUAUAAGUCAGUGGUGAAAUCUCCGAGCUUAACUUGGAAACUGCCGUUGAUACUAUAGGUCUUGAAUUAUCUGGAGGUAAGCGGAAUAUGUCAUGUAGCGGUGAAAUGCUUAGAUAUGACAUAGAACACCAAUUGCGAAGGCAGCUUACUACACAAUCAUUGACGCUGAGGCACGAAAGCGUGGGGAUCAAAC